rnacentral:rRNA from 1 species
CACGGGGGUUGCGAGCGUUGUCCGGAAUUACUAGGCAUAAAGGGCGGCAGGCGGAUCCAUAAGUUUAUCGUUUAAGGCGUCGGCUUAACCGGCGUAGGGCGGUAGAUACUGUGGAUCUGGAAUGCGGUUGGGGAAGACAGAAUUCCUGGUGUAGCGGUGGAAUGCGCAGAGAUCAGGAGGAAUACCGAAGGCGAAGGCAGUCUUCCAAGCCGUUAUUGACGCUCAACUGCGAAGGUGUGGGUAUCAAACAGGAUUAGAUACCCUGGUAGUCCCUGA